GACGAACGCUGGCGGCGUGCCUAAUACAUGCAAGUUGAGCGAUGAAGAUUGGUGCUUGCACCAAUUUGAAGAGCAGCGAACGGGUGAGUAAUGCGUGGGGAAUCUGCCUUUGAGCGGGGGACAACAUUUGGAAACGAAUGCUAAUACCGCAUAACAACUUUAAACAUAAGUUUUAAGUUUGAAAGAUGCAAUUGCAUCACUCAAAGAUGAUCCCGCGUUGUAUUAGCUAGUUGGUGAGGUAAAGGCUCACCAAGGCGAUGAUACAUAGCCGACCUGAGAGGGUGAUCGGCCACAUUGGGACUGAGACACGGCCCAAACUCCUACGGGAGGCAGCAGUAGGGAAUCUUCGGCAAUGGACGAAAGUCUGACCGAGCAACGCCGCGUGAGUGAAGAAGGUUUUCGGAUCGUAAAACUCUGUUGGUAGAGAAGAACGUUGGUGAGAGUGGAAAGCUCAUCAAGUGACGGUAACUACCCAGAAAGGGACGGCUAACUACGUG
rnacentral:rRNA from 1 species